AUUGAACGCUGGCGGCAGGCCUAACACAUGCAAGUCGAACGAGUGGCGGACGGGUGAGUAAUGUCUGGGAAACUGCCUUAUGGAGGGGGAUAACUACUGGAAACUGUAGCUAAUACCGCAUACCAUCGGAUGUGCCCAAAUGGGAUUAGCUAGUAGGUGGGGUAACGUCUCACCUAGGCGACGAUCCCUAGCUGGUCUGAGAGGAUGACCAGCCACACUGGAACUGAGACACGGUCCAGACUCCUACGGGAGGCAGCAGUGGGGAAUAUUGCACAAUGGGGGCAACCCUGACGCAGCCAUGCCGCGUGUAUGAAGAAGGCCUUCGGGUUGUAAAGUACUUUCAGCGGGGAGGCGUUAACCGCAGAAGAAGCACCGGCUAACUCCGUGCCAGCAGCCGCGGUAAUAC
rnacentral:rRNA from 1 species